rnacentral:rRNA from 1 species
UACGUAGGGGGCGAGCGUUGUCCGGAUUUCUUGGGCGUAAAGAGCCCGUAGGCGGCUUGGUAAGUCGGGUGUGAAACCUCCAGGCUCAACCUGGAGCCGCCACUCGAUACUGCCAUGGCUAGAGUCCGGUAGAGGGUCACGGAAUUCCUGGUGUAGCGGUGAAAUGCGCAGAUAUCAGGAGGAACACCGGUGGCGAAGGCGGUGGCCUGGGCCGUUACUGACGCUGAGGAGCGAAAGCGUGGGGAGCAAACAGG